CCCACGCGCGCCCGCCUUCCUGCCCCAGGCCAGCCUCGCGGUGUCGGCCUUCCGCUCCCUCUGGCGGAGGCGGGGGGCCAGGCAGCGUUCGGAGCGUGACUGGAGACCCGGAACUUCAAGCUAAGCCACAGAGAUAGAGAUUUAAGUAAAGGACCCCCAAUCACCGGGCUGGAAAUCAUGCUGCAGCCGUGGGGCAGUCAUGGCUCUCAAGGAUGCCGGAAGGACUGGUGGAAUCAGAGGGAGGCAGUUCACGGAGUUAGAAUCACCCAAACCAUCCACGAUGUAAAAUCCCUGCAAGUGUGCAUGACUGGACCAGAGGUGCAAAGGAAAAGAACCUUCAAAUGAAAGGACUGGCUGGGAUGCCUACCAAGACUGAGAAUCACCAUGAGAAAAUUUGGUGGUGAAGGAUCCAGGCAUGGCAGCAUUUCUAGAUGCAGAUCAUUGACUUGCGCCGUCCUUCCAAGAUUGAUAACCACAUUACUUCUAUCGGCAUUGAGAUUGAAGUGAUUAUUGCAGAUGCUUAAAUCAACUAUUUUAGUAAUUAUCCACUGUUAAAAAAAGAGGCAUAAAUAAGAGGCAUAAAUAACUAUUAAAAUGGAAUAAUAAAAAUCUCACUAAUUUAGAGA